AGAAACUUAGGUUAACUCAAACCAAGGGCCUUCAAAGCCCUAAACGAAGCCAAGCCCCUUAGUUCCUG
rnacentral:tRNA from 1 species